GCUCUGCACAUUCCCCCCUCCCCUUGAUUGAUAAAGAUAGACUUCAGGCAGAGCCCUGUCCAAGAGCUGUGUGCUAGCAAGUAAAUAUCAUAUACACCAUGUACUGUAGAUUCACCACACUGAGAUCUGCUCAGAAAGCUAAUCUACAUAUUACUACUUUAUUCACAGG